UAUAGAAAUACUCCAUGAAAAGCUUGCCUUGUAAUUCAAACCACUUUCCUGUGGAGCAUCAAAAUAUUUGUUUCUCUGUGUUAAGCAUACAUGAUAAAGAAUCAGGAUGAUGCCCCACAACAUUUGUCUGUGUUAGAAAGCCAUCCUGGGGUUCAUGGAAGGAAAUCGGGAUCUAUCUGGUCCUAAGGGAUGAUGGAAAAAGAGAUAAAAUGGAAAUACAAGCUGUGUGCUGUUUCCUCUCUGAACUGUAAAUAUCAAUGUGGAAUUUUGGCAGAUGGAGUGGUUCUAUUUUGUUGGUUUUUGGAACUGAGGUCAUAAUUAAGAGGGGUGCUUGGGGCAAUCCUAUUUUGCCAAUAAAUGUGAAAUUCUUGGACCAGUGCAAGACAGACCAGAGGGAAAGCGUUUGCCAAGAAUGUUUUCAUUAAUCAAGAAAGUAAGUCGGAGGUUCGAAGAUGAUCAGAUACCAUCCUAGUUCCGACCACAAACAAUGCCAACUGGAGAUGCAGUGGUGUUAUUUCCUGAUCCUCCUGGGUAGCUUCCUGAAAACCUAAGCAUUUGGGUUUGGGGGGAGUAUGGUUGCAAAGCUGAAACUUAAAGGAAUUGAUGGAAGGGCACCACUAGGAGUGGACCUUCAGCUUAAUUUGAUCUAUACAGGAGACCUCACCCGGACCAGACAUGGACAGGAUUGACAGAUUCAUAGCUCUUUCUUGAAUCCAUGGGUGGUGGUGCAUGGCCAUUCUUAUUUGGUGGAGCAAUUUGUCUGGUUAAUUCCAAUAAGGAAGGAGACUCUGGCAUGCUAACUAGUUAAGUGACUCCCCGAGCAGUCAGCAUCCCCCAAGUUCUUAUAGGGACAAGUGGCAUUCAGCCACCUGAGAUUGAGCAAUAACAGGUCUGUGAUGCCCUUAGAUGUCUGAGGCUGCUUGCACACUACACUGACUGUCUCAGCCUGUGCCUACUCUAUGCCAGCAGGAGUGAGUUACCCAUUGAACCCCAUUCAUGAUGGAGAUCAGGCAUUGCAAUUAUUCCCCAUGUAUGAGGAAUUCGCAGUAAGUGCGGGUCAUAAGCUUGCAGUAAUUAUGUCCCUGUCCUUUGUACACACUGCCUGUCCCUACUACCAAUUGGAUGGUUUAGUGAGGCCCUCAGAUUGGCCCUGAAGGUGUCUGCCCAUGGCCCUGGUUGUGUGCUAAGAAGAAGUCGAACUUGGCUAUCUAGAGGAAGUGAAAGUCCCAACAAGGUUUCUGCAGGUGAACCUGUAGAUGGAUCAUUA
rnacentral:ncRNA from 1 species